ACGUGAGGGCGGGACUGAAGGCAAGAAAGUGUCGCGUUGCGUGCACUCAUGCUAGGUUGAUUGUAGUGUGAGAGGCCGUCGUCUACUGGUGUAAAUCGGCGACAGGGAGGAAAAUACUGUUUAAAAUCGAUUUUUACAUCUUCAAGGGAAAAUCGACUUUAUCGUGAACUAUUUGUCCGGUAAUUUUGCACACAAACUGUCGUUUACAGACAGGCAUUGUAGCAUCAGGAGUAUCUGCGGAAUCCGUGUAGCACAGAAUCCUGGGACAUAAAAGAUCAUCGGACUAUGCAACAGUGAGCAGCACCUGACCCCUUUCAACUCUUUUUUUCCAGUGGCUCCAGGUGACCCCACGUCCCCCCCCCCCCCCCCAUCUUCUUGCGUG